UACGAAGGGGGCUAGCGUUGCUCGGAAUCACUGGGCGUAAAGCGCACGUAGGCGGAUUCGUUAAGUCGGGGGUGAAAUCCUGGAGCUCAACGUCCAGAACUGCCUUCGAUACUGGCGAUCUCGAGUCCGGGAGAGGUGAGUGGAACUCCGAGUGUAGAGGUGAAAUUCGUAGAUAUUCGGAAGAACACCAGUGGCGAAGGCGGCUCACUGGCCCGGUACUGACGCUGAGGUGCGAAAGCGAGGGGAGCAAACAGG
rnacentral:rRNA from 1 species